AGAAUUUUCCCCAAAGAGAAAGCUGCAAUUUUUCCUUUAAUCUCCCAAUGCUGCUAGGACCAGGCUAGCUGCAUUCUUGAAUAUUGUCACCAUUUCUGUUGGCCUCCUUGGAAUAUCAGAAAUAAUUUUAAACUCAUGGUCAUUCAUCAAGAGAGAAAGAGAGAGAGAAUGCAUAAGGAGGGGAAGCUGUAGAAGGAGAAGCAGGCUCCCUGCCUGAUGCAGAGCUGGAUCCUGGGUUCUCGAGAUCAUGACCCGUGCCACAGGAUGAUGCUUAACUAACUGAGCCAUCCAGGUGCACCGAGUUCUUAUAGUUCUUAUCAC
rnacentral:lncRNA from 1 species